rnacentral:tRNA from 1 species
GGGGAGUUAGCUCAGUGGUAGAGCGGCCGCCUCCAGAUGUGAGAGGAUAGCGGCCGGUCGUGGGUUCGAUCCCUGCACUCCUCA